rnacentral:misc_RNA from 1 species
GUAGGUGAACCUGCGGAAGAAUCAUUAACACGCAUACACGUGGGAGUGUUACCACUGCCUCGUCUUAUCCACUCGUACGAAUUUGUUGUACAUUCCCAUAUGCGGGGAAGCCGUUGUGUUCGCACAUCGCCAAAAAGGGACACUCAAACCGUCUCUGCUUCUCUGCAACACUGUUUGUCCCUUUUGUAACCAUCAGACAUUCUAAAAAUCAUAACAAACAAAGAGAAAACAAUUCUCAGCAACGGAUAUC